rnacentral:rRNA from 1 species
GAUGAACGCUGGCGGCGUGCUUAACACAUGCAAGUCGAACGGAAAGGCUCCUGCUUGCAGGGGUACUCGAGUGGCGAACGGGUGAGUAACACGUGGGUGAUCUGCCCUGCACUUCGGGAUAAGCCUGGGAAACUGGGUCUAAUACCGGAUAGGACCACAUUUUGGAUGGUGUGGUGGAAAGUUUUUCGGUGUGGGAUGAGCUCGCGGCCUAUCAGCUUGUUGGUGGGGUAAUGGCCUACCAAGGCGUCGACGGGUAGCCGGCCUGAGAGGGUGUACGGCCACAUUGGGACUGAGAUACGGCCCAGACUCCUACGGGAGGCAGCAGUGGGGAAUAUUGCACAAUGGGUGCAAGCCUGAUGCAGCGACGCCGCGUGGGGGAUGACGGCCUUCGGGUUGUAAACUCCUUUCGCUAGGGACGAAGCGCAAGUGACGGUACCUGGAGAAGAAGCACCGGCUAACUACGUG